rnacentral:rRNA from 1 species
AGCAGCCAUCAUUUAAAGAAAGCGUAAUAGCUCACUGGUCGAGUCGGCCUGCGCGGAAGAUGUAACGGGGCUAAACCAUGCACCGAAGCUGCGGCAGCGACGCUGAUGCGUUGUUGGGUAGGGGAGCGUUCUGUAAGCCUGCGAAGGUGUGCUGUGAGGCAUGCUGGAGGUAUCAGAAGUGCGAAUGCUGACAUAAGUAACGAUAAAGCGGGUGAAAAGCCCGCUCGCCGGAAGACCAAGGGUUCCUGUCCAACGUUAAUCGGGGCAGGGUGAGUCGACCCCUAAGGCGAGGCCGAAAGGCGUAGUCGAUGGGAAACAGGUUAAUAUUCCUGUACUUGGUGUUACUGCGAAGGGGGGACGGAGAAGGCUAUGUUGGCCGGGCGACGGUUGUCCCGGUUUAAGCAUGUAGGCUGGUUUUCCAGGCAAAUCCGGAAAAUCAAGGCUGAGGCGUGAUGACGAGGCACUACGGUGCUGAAGCAACAAAUGCCCUGCUUCCAGGAAAAGCCUCUAAGCAUCAGGUAACAUCAAAUCGUACCCCAAACCGACACAGGUGGUCAGGUAGAGAAUACCAAGGCGCUUGAGAGAACUCGGGUGAAGGAACUAGGCAAAAUGGUGCCGUAACUUCGGGAGAAGGCACGCUGAUAUGUAGGUGAGGUCCCUCGCGGAUGGAGCUGAAAUCAGUCGAAGAUACCAGCUGGCUGCAACUGUUUAUUAAAAACACAGCACUGUGCAAACACGAAAGUGGACGUAUACGGUGUGACGCCUGCCCGGUGCCGGAAGGUUAAUUGAUGGGGUUAGCGCAAGCGAAGCUCUUGAUCGAAGCCCCGGUAAACGGCGGCCGUAACUAUAACGGUCCUAAGGUAGCGAAAUUCCUUGUCGGGUAAGUUCCGACCUGCACGAAUGGCGUAAUGAUGGCCAGGCUGUCUCCACCCGAGACUCAGUGAAAUUGAACUCGCUGUGAAGAUGCAGUGUACCCGCGGCAAGACGGAAAGACCCCGUGAACCUUUACUAUAGCUUGACACUGAACAUUGAGCCUUGAUGUGUAGGAUAGGUGGGAGGCUUUGAAGUGUGGACGCCAGUCUGCAUGGAGCCGACCUUGAAAUACCACCCUUUAAUGUUUGAUGUUCUAACGUUGACCCGUAAUCCGGGUUGCGGACAGUGUCUGGUGGGUAGUUUGACUGGGGCGGUCUCCUCCUAAAGAGUAACGGAGGAGCACGAAGGUUGGCUAAUCCUGGUCGGACAUCAGGAGGUUAGUGCAAUGGCAUAAGCCAGCUUGACUGCGAGCGUGACGGCGCGAGCAGGUGCGAAAGCAGGUCAUAGUGAUCCGGUGGUUCUGAAUGGAAGGGCCAUCGCUCAACGGAUAAAAGGUACUCCGGGGAUAACAGGCUGAUACCGCCCAAGAGUUCAUAUCGACGGCGGUGUUUGGCACCUCGAUGUCGGCUCAUCACAUCCUGGGGCUGAAGUAGGUCCCAAGGGUAUGGCUGUUCGCCAUUUAAAGUGGUACGCGAGCUGGGUUUAGAACGUCGUGAGACAGUUCGGUCCCUAUCUGCCGUGGGCGCUGGAGAACUGAGGGGGGCUGCUCCUAGUACGAGAGGACCGGAGUGGACGCAUCACUGGUGUUCGGGUUGUCAUGCCAAUGGCACUGCCCGGUAGCUAAAUGCGGAAGAGAUAAGUGCUGAAAGCAUCUAAGCACGAAACUUGCCCCGAGAUGAGUUCUCCCUGACUCCUUGAGAGUCCUGAAGGAACGUUGAAGACGACGACGUUGAUAGGCCGGGUGUGUAAGCGCAGCGAUGCGUUGAGCUAACCGGUACUAAUGAACCGUGAGGCUUAACCUU